GGACAUCAGAUAACGACUUGCGGGAGGUGGAGACGGACGGGUUUGUGACGCGGGACGACCGCGCACACCUGUUCCCGCCUCCCCGGCGCGGGCGGACCGCCUGGACCACCGCGGGUCUACAUGUACAAGAACGUACGGUCCUCUUCAACUCCACAUCCUUGGAGUGGGGGCUUCAUCUCUACUUUAUCGCCUCUUGUUUUCUUUAGUUUUGAGUUGGUACUGCGAGAAAGAGUUCUCGGAAGAUAGAGGGCGCCCCGCGCCGCUUGACGUACAGGUGUUCUAACAGGUGGUCGGAGGAAACUGCACACUGGAACGUCCCACGGCUAUCUCCACUUUCAUCUCUUGGUUUGUCAGAGGGACAGUAGUGAAUAUUCCAGGAUGUACUAGUACACUCCACCCCAGCCCCUGAGGACAACGUUUCGGGAUCCCACGCACAGGAAAUGAUCCGCCUCCAACCUUAACGAUCGACGUGAAGAUGGAAAAAAAAGUCCCGGUGUACUGACUGUGGCGACGGUGAAGAAUUAUAUCUAUCAGCUACAUAGUAUUUCAACAGUGUACAUGGCUGUAGAUACUGCAUCUACAUUGUACGUGGACUAUGAUAUAGUGUACUUUGACGCUGGUCUUCUGCUUCAGUAUAUAUGUGCACAGAACAUAAAGAUUUGAUACUGAUGGCUAAUUAGCAGUCAGCACACUCCUACCUGGUGUGAACAAGGUACCAUACACUCUACAAUCUGAACGCUACUAUCCGUCGUUUUAAGUUAGAACGGACUUUCAUGGUAGGAGGAAAACAGUGAAUUGCAACACCCAUAUUUGUGUAAUUAAAUGGCUGGGAACUAAACACGCUCCUGGCUGCCUGACUAAAGCCAGCACGGUUUAGAUCAGUCAAAACCAUUUUGGUCUAGAAAAAAGGUUACUAGCCUGUAAGAUUAGCAUUUGUUGUUGUGUACAGUAAUGUGUGCUGUAGCAUACCGAGCAGAGGCAAUUGACAGGAAUUGAUGGCCAGGAAGAUAUAAUCUUAGAUGAAUAAUCGCCAACUUCUACUUCAAUACCUUUCACACCUCGCCGUGCUCCUGCACAGACACAAGAAUGCCGUGGUACGUGUCCGACAACACGGUCUCAAUGUCAGAAAAUCUCCCCCAUUUCCAGGGCAUUUGUCUGGGGAUUAUCGGAUAAACGCUGUCCACACUUGAAUAGCGCCCUUCACCUUAUACGGACCAUACAGAGACGUUUGUACACACAGAGCUGUAGCUUCGAUACUUAAACGUAUUUUUGUGCAUGAUAACCAGUACUACUGUAGCAACAAAGAGACACUAGCGGUGAUAGACUCAUCAUAUUUAUCCGUGACUACUCGGCACAGGAUAUUAGUCAGCAAUUCUACAAGCCUACAGGUGUUUUUCAUGGAAGGUCAUUUGUGUUGGUAGCAGACAUGGUGACAUAGUGAGAUGCUAAACUUCAACUCAAAGGGUAUAUAAGGAACACUGUCGCCUUCAUCAGAAUAACUAAUGACAAAUCGCAUCCGAACGUUAAGGCAACAGUGUCAGUGGUCGUUGAAAAUGUGAUCAUUGCCUACCCUUUGUAGUGGAAUUAAGUUUAUCAUCGUACUAUACAGCUUUUUAUUGGAAAAAUGUCCUCACAAGUUUACUCAAGGUUUAAGUUUUAAUCCGUCACCUGCAGCCGGCAGACGCCUGUUGUUUUGCUAAGCUCGAGUCUGUCUGCAGAUCAGGAUUGGUUUACAACGGUUAUGGACUCGCUAUGUCAAGUAUCCAUUGAUACCCGUGGGGGUCAAGGAGGCUCUCGGUUGAGCACACCUCUCAGACAGUCGUUUUAACACAUGACAGCAUACAUCAGAAUGAGUUAGUGCACCAGGAGACAUCGUCAGGUACCUAGGUGAAGGGUGUUAAUUGUACGUGCAAAAAUGUUUGCAAAUCCUUUAAGAUGUCAAACGUCUAGUGUUAGUUAAAUGCGACUAAUGUUGAACGCUGAAAUACGCUGCCUAACCAGUGUAUAAAAACGAGUCGCUUAUCAAUUACAACAUGUAAAAAUGUAACUUCAAGAUAUUACAUAUACAUGGAACUGUAUAUAUAUAUAUAUAUACGUAGGUAUGUAUAGUUAAACAAUGGCGCGGCCACUUUUUGUGUUAUCAUAUGUAUUCUUAGGAUAGACAAUUAAAGUCUAGAAAUAAGAUAGAUUGUUUGAGCCCUUGUCAAACUCCGUCCAAAACGUUGUAUAGUUGUAUAAGUCAUUAUAUUAAGUCAUUAUAUUAGGUCAUUAUAUUAGUUAUAUCUAGUUUGAUGCCGUACGAAUUAUGCUUGUAUCUACAUUGUACUUGUUUUUAUUACUAAGUAGAUAGUGUGACAACUGAAAAUGAUGUGUACUGUAUCUUUGUGAUACAGAACCGAAUUUAGAUGACCGUGAAGUAAUACUAGUAGUAGUUAGAUGCGGCAUCUAGCGAUCAUAGUGAUUAUUGCACGCAUAUGAACUUUUCCCGCUCAAGGGAA